rnacentral:snRNA from 1 species
GUGCUCACUUUGGCAGCACAUAUACUAAAAUUGGAAUGAUACAGGUAAGAUUAACAUGGUCCCUGCACAAGGAUGACACUCAAAUUUGUCAAACAUUCCAUAUUUAA